UACGUAGGGUGCAAGCGUUGUCCGGAAUUAUUGGGCGUAAAGAGCUCGUAGGCGGUUUGUCGCGUCGGCUGUGAAAAACCUGGGGGCUCAACCCCCGGGCCCUGCAGCCGAUACGGGCAAACUAGAAUUCGGUAGGGGAGGACUGGAAUUCCUGGUGUAGCGGUGGAAAUGCGCAGAUAUCAGGAGGAACACCGGUGGCGAAGGCGGGUCUCUGGGCCGAUAUUGACGCUGAGGCGCGAAGGCGUGGGGAGCGAACGGG
rnacentral:rRNA from 1 species